UGAAGGACUCAAAUCAAUGGUGUCAGGACU
rnacentral:piRNA from 1 species